UUUGAACGCGAAGAACCUUACCAGGUCUUGACAUCCCUCUGACCGUCCUAGAGAUAGGGCUUUCCUUCGGGACAGAGGAGACAGGUGGUGCAUGGUUGUCGUCAGCUCGUGUCGUGAGAUGUUGGGUUAAGUCCCGCAACGAGCGCAACCCUUGAUCUUAGUUGCCAGCAUUUCGGAUGGGCACUCUAAGGUGACUGCCGGUGACAAACCGGAGGAAGGUGGGGAUGACGUCAAAUCAUCAUGCCCCUUAUGACCUGGGCUACACACGUACUACAAUGGCCGGUACAACGGGCUGGGAAGCCGCGAGGUGGAACGAAUCCUAAAAAGCCGGUCUCAGUUCGGAUUGCAGGCUGCAACUCGCCUGCAUGAAGUCGGAAUUGCUAGUAAUCGCGGAUCACCAUGCCGCGGUGAGUACGUUCCCCGGUCUUGUACACACCCAAAA
rnacentral:rRNA from 1 species